rnacentral:rRNA from 1 species
UAGCCUAACGGCUGAACCAGCAACUUGGAGGAAUGUACAGCGAAAGCUGGUUGCAUUAACUAAUAGUUAAUGCAGCAUCGACACUGUCGAAUAAAGUUCUAGGUAGAAUUAUGAUAAUGACAUUGUCUAUCUAUGUGUCUUGACCAAAUCAUGUGCCAGCAGUCGCGGUAAUACAUGGGAGACUAGUGUUAUUCAUCUUUAAUAGGUUUAAAGGGUACUUAGACGGUGAAUUAAGCCUGUAAAGGUACUAAUUAACUAGAGUUUUAUGCGAGAAGGGGAGUACUAAAGAGUGAAGAGAUGAAAUUCUGUCAUACCUGCCUUGGAACAGGCAACGGCGAAAGCAACCUUUUAUGUAAAAACUGACGUUGAAAGACGAAGGCCUUGGGACACCAACAGGAUUAGAUACCCCAGCAGUCCAGGCAGACAAUGAUGAAUGUCAUAGAUUAGAAAUAUAUUUUUGUCUAUAAAUGAAAGUGUAAGCAUUCCACCUCAAGAGUAAUGUGGCCACGCAGGAACUGAAAUCAUUAGACCGUUUCUGAAACCAGUAGUGAAGUAUGUUGUUUAAUUUGAUGUUCCGCAAAACACCUUACCACAAUUUGAAUAUUUUUAUAAAGAUUUUCUUUAUUAAUACAGGCGCUGCACGGCUGUCUACAGUUAAUGUCGUGAGAUUUUGGUUAGCUCCUUGAAAUUAACGUAAACCCUUACUUUAUUUAUUAUUAUAGAGUAGUUCACCGGUAUAUUGGAUAUGAUAAAAGGGACUAAGACAAGUCAAUAUGGCCUUAAUAUUGUGGGCUAUAGACGUGCCACAUAGGCCUUUACAAUAGGGAUGC